rnacentral:tRNA from 1 species
GCCUGGGUGGCUUGGUCGGUUAAGCGUCUGACUUCGGCUCAGGUCAUGAUCUCACGGUCCGUGAGUUCGAACCCCACGUCGGGCU